rnacentral:rRNA from 1 species
AGAGUUUGAUCCUGGCUCAGAUUGAACGCUGGCGGCAUGCCUUACACAUGCAAGUCGAACGGCGGCACGGGGGCAACCCUGGUGGCGAGUGGCGAACGGGUGAGUAAUACAUCGGAACGUGUCCUGUAGUGGGGGAUAGCCCGGCGAAAGCCGGAUUAAUACCGCAUACGCUCUACGGAGGAAAGGGGGGGAUCUUCAGGACCUCCCGCUACAGGGGCGGCCGAUGGCAGAUUAGCUAGUUGGUGGGGUAAAGGCCUACCAAGGCGACGAUCUGUAGCUGGUCUGAGAGGACGACCAGCCACACUGGGACUGAGACACGGCCCAGACUCCUACGGGAGGCAGCAGUGGGGAAUUUUGGACAAUGGGCGAAAGCCUGAUCCAGCAAUGCCGCGUGUGUGAAGAAGGCCUUCGGGUUGUAAAGCACUUUUUCCGGAAAGAAAACCUCCGCCCUAAUAUGGUGGGGGGAUGACGGUACCGGAAGAAUAAGCACCGGCUAAC